GACGAACGCUGGCGGCGUGCUUAACACAUGCAAGUCGAACGAUGAACCUUCCAUGAUCUAUUCGUAGAGAUUGGAAGCGGAUUAGUGGCGAACGGGUGAGUAACGCGUGAGCAACCUGCCUUAAACAACGGGAUAGCCUCGGGAAACCGGGAUUAAUACCGUAUGAGACCCCGCCUUCCCAUGAAGAAGAGGUUAAAGAUUUAUCGGUUUAAGAUGGGCUCGCGUCUGAUUAGCUAGUUGGUGAGAUAAAAGCCCACCAAGGCAGCGAUCAGUAACCGGAUUGAGAGAGUGAACGGUCACAUUGGCACUGAGACACGGUCCAAACUCGUACGGGAGGCAGCAGUGGGGAAGAUUGCACAAUGGGGGAAACCCUGAUGCAGCGACGCCGCGUGAGCGAUGAAGGAAUUCGUUUCGUAAAGCUCUGUCCAAGGGGAAGAUAAUGACAGUACCCUUGGAGGAAGCCCCGGCUAAAUACGUGCCAGCCGCCGCCGUAA
rnacentral:rRNA from 1 species